rnacentral:rRNA from 1 species
GACAGAGGGUGCAAACGUUGUUCGGAAUUACUGGGCGUAAAGCGCGUGUAGGCUGCCUUGCAAGUCGGGUGUGAAAGCCCUGGGCUCAACCUAGGAAGUGCACUCGAAACUGCAAGGCUGGAGUCCUGGAGAGGAAGGCGGAAUUCUCGGUGUAGAGGUGAAAUUCGUAGAUAUCGGGAGGAACACCAGUGGCGAAGGCGGCUGCCUGGCCUGUAACUGACGCUGAUACGCGAAAGCGUGGGGAGCAAACCGG